rnacentral:rRNA from 1 species
GGGCCCGCACAAGCGGUGGAGUAUGUGGUUUAAUUCGAUGCAACGCGAAGAACCUUACCAGGGUUUGACAUCCUGCGAAUCUUUUGGAAACGAGAGAGUGCCUUCGGGAACGCAGUGACAGGUGGUGCAUGGCUGUCGUCAGCUCGUGUCGUGAGAUGUUGGGUUAAGUCCCGCAACGAGCGCAACCCACGUCUUUAGUUGCCAGCAUUUAGUUGGGCACUCUAGAGAGACUGCCGGUGAUAAACCGGAGGAAGGUGUGGAUGACGUCAAGGUCAUCAUGCCCCUUACAUCCCUGGGCUACACACGUACUACAAUGCUACGGACAAAGGGCUGCAAGUUCCGAGGACAAG